UAGAGUACACAUCAGCCGCGUGCUCCUCGCCGCGACUCUCACACGCGCGUGUUAUGAACUGAAAAACAGUGUUUUCGCGUGUGUAAGUGACUCACUACUGUGGAAUUGACGAUUGGAGGCUUUACGGACGAGAUGGAGGCUACUUAUUGCAUGGGAACUGACGUCGACGUCUGCAGGAUGUUCGACCAGUAUUUAUACAAGAGGAAUGACAAUUUGGACCUGUCGUGUUCUGUGUCACAGGGAAUUCACAACAGUUACGGGAUGACCGAUCAGACAUUUCACACUCCAAGUUUUGGAGACGAGGAUUUUGACAUCCCCCCGAUCAACCCCCACCAAAACCACCCCCAAGCCAACAUGGGUUACCACCAACCCCCAAUGUCCAUGAACAUGAGCCAGACCACAGAUAGCAUCAGUAUGAGUGACCCUAGUAACGGUUAUCAUCAACAGAAUCAUCAGAUGUACCAGGACCAUAAUAUGGGCAUUAGUGUCAGUGCCAGCUACAGCAGUCCCCCCGCCAACGGUCAACCCCAAUACAGCCACUCCCAAUCCCAGAUGCAGAUGGCCCCGCCGCACUACACCAUGGGGCCCCCGUACGGCAGGUCUCCCCAGGGACAUUCCCCGCCAGGCGCCCCACACCCCCACCAUGAGACUACCACCACCAGCGACGACAGUGAUGACAGCACACCACACACACAACUGUUGGCUGGAAUGAAGCGGCCGUCACCGGAGCCUGCUGACACCAGCCUCGCCAAAAUACAGAAGAAACCAAAAGCUCAAAAAAAGAAAAAGAAGAGGGACCCGAAUGAGCCACAAAAACCAGUGUCUGCUUACGCACUGUUUUUCCGAGACACCCAAGCAGCAAUUAAAGGCCAGAAUCCCAACGCCAGCUUCGGCGAAGUAUCCAAAAUAGUCGCAUCCAUGUGGGACGCACUAGACACAGAUCACAAAAAUGUAUAUAAGAAGAAGACUGAAGCAGCCAAAAAGGAUUACUUAAAAGCUUUAGCAGCUUACCGGGCCAGCUUAGUUUCAAAAGGGGCUGGAGAACAGGAAACAAUGUAUGGGGCAUAUGGAGGAUAUGGAGGGGGAUACAGUGGUUACUCUCCACCUACAGGACUUCCCUCCCCUCCCAUGCCUGCCCCCUCCCCGCAACAACACAUGAGCAAUAUGAGCAACAUGAACAACAACAUGAGUAUGAACAAGAAGCCUCACAUGAUGCCCGACAACAGGGCACCCAACCAACAACAGCAGCAUAAUCAACAGGGGAUGAUUGGUGGACAUAUGGGCCAACAACAACAAUUACCACAGCAACAACAGCAAAAUUCACAACAACAACAGACAAACAACAUUGGCUCAAACUACAUGCAACAGCAGCAGUGGGGCUGGUGUUACAGGGGGGCAACAACGGGGGUGACCCCCUCCAGUCAGUGAGCCCCGCAGCCCCACAACAGUGUAUCCGUCACGGCUGCCCCAACCCCGCCACCACCAACCCGGAGUGGGAAGACGAGUAUUGCAGCAAUGAGUGUGUCGUCACCCACUGCAAGGACGUUUUCAACUCGUGGGUAGCAGCCAAUCAGCUCCCUGACGCGUCCGAGUCCUCGUAAGGUGGUGUCGUUCCUUGUACAUACCGUAAAAGACUGUCCCGGCCGGCAGCCGAUGCUGUUGCAUGUUUCGCCCUUUUUCAAGUGAAUGCAUAUUUACAUAUUGUAGGUAGAAUAGUUGUUAGAUAUUUCUCAUCAGUAUAUAAAUAUAUAUAUAUAAGGCAAGGUAAAAAAUGUUUAUAUUUUAAAGAGAAGUGAUAAGUUAGUAUUUAUGUUUUACGCUCACGUUGUUAAUUUAAUUUUUCGAGUCUAUGUAAAAACAUUUUGUAAUGAUAGAGAUUUAUUGAGUAUUUUAACGAUGCAGUUUUAGCGAUGUACAAAUCGAUCGUUUUAAUACCGGUUUAGAUUACCUGAUGUUGUUUGUUUCGUUUUAUAGAGACAGUUAGUUUGUAUUGACGAACGGACGUUCGUUUAGGGAAAGCUACAGUUCCGAAUAAGUUCUGGUGUUAUAUUUUUAAAGUGUAAAGUGAUUAGUAGGUUGUUUUUCCAAACAAAUGUACUUGUUGAUAUUUUGAGAAACCCAUAAACGUUAAAAUUACAAAAACAGG